rnacentral:rRNA from 1 species
CCUACGGGUGGCAGCAGUGGGGAAUAUUGCACAAUGGGGGAAACCCUGAUGCAGCGACGCCGCGUGAGUGAAGAAGUAUUUCGGUACGUAAGGCUCUAUCAGCAGGGAAGAAAAUGACGGUACCUGACUAAGAAGCCCCGGCUAACUACGGGCCAGCAGCCGCGGUAAUACGUAGGGGGCAAGCGUUAUCCGGAUUUACUGGGUGUAAAGGGAACGUAGACGGCAGCGCAAGUCGGAAGUGAAAGCCCAUGGCUUAACCAUGGAACUGCUGUGGAAACUGGGCAGCUGGAGUGCAGGAGAGGUAGGCGGAAUUCGUGGUGUAGCGGUGAAAUGCGUAGAUAUUAGGAGGAACACCGGUGGCGAAGGCGGCUUACUGGACUAUAACUGACGUUGAGGCUCGAAAGCGUGGGGAGCAAACAGGAUUAGAUACCCGAGUAGUC